UUUCCUAAGCCUUUCAACAAAAAUCUCAUGCUGGCUCAUUUCUUGUCCCGUAAUUGCUGUUCAGAAAAUGCAGCAGGCUCCCGUGUAGUCUUUUCCUCUGUUCUCGGAAUUUUCUCCAUCCUGUUUUUGUGCCAGCCUCUCGAACAGCGUCCCUCACUGGAUCCCUCAUUCUCAGGUCCCACAUUGGGGUGCCACUUGUCCUGACCCGCGGCCUCCUUCAAAGAACUGGAGAAAAUAAUCCUAAAAUGCAGAUGGAACCAGAAGAGACCCAAAUAAGCAAAAGCAAUUCUGGAUAAAAAGAGAAAGGAAGAGGCAUCACAAAUCCAAGUCUUGAAGUUAUUCUACAAAGAAACAGUGAUAAAAACAGCAAGGCACUGCACAAAAACUGACAUGAGGAUCAUGGAACAGAACCAUGGAUGCAGAAACCACUUCAGCACCUGGUUCCACCAUCCUGAUGCAUUCACCAUGAAGCCCCCAGCAGACACUGAAAUGACGGGGCUACCUGAUCUCUGGUGAUGAGCUGAAUCAACCUCUGUUCUUCAUAAAGCACCCAUCCUUAGAAACUCUGUAAUAACAAUAACAACAAAAAAAGUACCAAGACAGUACUCUAAUUAGACACUCCACAAAUAAAAAGUAUUUCAAAUUAGAAUUUUUCUCCUCCUCAGAGCAGUUUAUGGUGCCAGGGACCCGCACUGUUUCUAUGCUGUUUUUUCUGCUGUCCCCUGAUUCACUUCGUACACCAUAUUUGAUUUGCAGACCGAGCAGGGGAGGGCAUUGCCCCAUCCUGGAAGAGCACAGUUCUGAAGACAGCACAGUGUUUUUUCCCAUUGGUCAGGACCAGCAUGUACCUGGGUUUAGGGAGCUGGGUAACCAGAGGUGAUCAGCUAAAUGUGGGCAGCUGGUUAUCAU